CCAACUUAUAAAACAUUAUAAUAUGAAAAUCCAAUAAUUGAACCAAUUCUUUCAUCAAACACCAAUAUAUAAUUUUGAGAAAACUUAUUAGUUUCAUACUUCACAAUAUUUGAAAGAAUGAGGCUAAAUAUAAUUUCAUGUCUAUUGAUAUUUUUGUUCAUCCAUGACUUAGUCAUGAUGAACAAAUUUUCUAGUAGCCUUUGUGUGGAAGCAAGGUCCCUCCAAUAUUAUUCUUCCUACAAGGAAUUGUUCAAAUCUCAACACAUGGUGGCUAGAAAGCUAAGAGGGUACAAGAGAAGAAUCAUACCAACACCAUCACCACCAAAACCUAAUUUUGAAAUUCAUUGGAGUCCUCCUCCUCCUCUUCAACCUCCACCAUCAGGGUCGAAGAUACAGUAUUAGGACCCACUGAAGGAGCUGAUUGGAACGUGAAUUAGGAGGGACGGACUAUACUAUUUUAGCAAAUCAGACGUGGUGCAACAUGUGUCUACUGUCAUGGCAGCGUUAGCAUUGGAAUUGUGGCAUCGACGAUUGGGGCAUCCUUCCGAAAGAGUAGUUAAGUUGCUUCCUCAUGUUAGUAGUGAUAAGAAUAGUUUAGCAAAUGAUUGUGAAGUGUGUUUCCAUGCUAAGCAUCCUAGAGACAAAUUUCCUUUAAGUGAUAAUAAAGCGUCUAGAAUAUUUGAAAAAAUACAUUGUAAUUUGUGGGGUCCAUAUCGACAUGUUUCGUCGUGUGGAGUUCGUUAUUUUCUAACAAUUGUUGAUGAUUUUUUUCGAGCUA